rnacentral:rRNA from 1 species
UACAGAGGGGGCAAGCGUUGUUCGGAAUUACUGGGCGUAAAGGGCGCGUAGGCGGCCUGUUAAGUCGAACGUGAAAUCCCUGGGCUCAACCCAGGAACUGCGUCCGAUACUGGCAGGCUUGAAUCCGGGAGAGGGAUGUGGAAUUCCAGGUGUAGCGGUGAAAUGCGUAGAUAUUCGGAAGAACACCAGUGGCGAAGGCGACUUACUGGACACAUAUUGACGCUGAGGUGCGAAAGCGUGGGGAGCAAACAGG